UUUCCGUAGGUGAACCUGCGGAAGGAUCAUUAAAAAUGAAGCCGGGAAACCGGUCCUUCUCACCCUUGAUUAUCUCAAAUUUUUGCUUUGGUGGGCCGCGCAAGCACCGGCUUCGGCUGGAUCGUGCCCGCCAGAGGACCACAACUCUGUAUUAUAUGUCGUCUGAGUACUAUAAAAUAGUUAAAACUUUCAACAACGGAUCUCUUGGUUCUG
rnacentral:misc_RNA from 1 species